rnacentral:rRNA from 1 species
AUUGAACGCUGGCGGCAGGCCUAACACAUGCAAGUCGAACGAGUGGCGGACGGGUGAGUAAUGUCUGGGAAACUGCCUGAUGGCGGGGGAUAACUACUGGAAACGGUAGCUAAUACCGCAUACCAUCGGAUGUGCCCAGAUGGGAUUAGCUAGUAGGUGGGGUAAAGGCUAACCUAGGCGACGAUCCCUAGCUGGUCUGAGAGGAUGACCAGCCACACUGGAAAUGAGACACGGUCCAGACUCCUACGGUAGGCAGCAGUGGGGAAGAUUGCACAAUGGGCGCAAGCCUGAUGCAGCCAUGCCGCGUGUGUGAAGAAGGCCGUCGGGUUGUAAAGUACUUUCAGCGGGGAGGCGUGACCCGCAGAAGAAGCACCGGCUAACUCCGUGCCAGCAGCCGCGGUAAUUC